CUGCAUUAGCUUCCUUUCUGGGAUCCCAAGGAGCCAGUCGCUGGUGAGGGGUCUCCAUCUUAACUCUAUGGAGAUAGCUAUCACCUCUUCUGCUCAAGGGGAUGAUAAGUAUGCGGCAUUAAGCGAGAAUCAGAAGCGCGCGAAAACUGGUGUUAGGCAUCUGAUUGUUAGUUGCAUGGAUUUUUCUAGUAAGCAUAGUUUUUGUAUCGAGGAUUUUGUUGACAAGGCGGAGGAAACCAGCCUCGAGGAGUUUCUGACAGGACCCGCCUCGAGAUUUCCCCAAAACCGGGGCGAAUCCCGUCUUUAUUCCGACAUCUUCCCGAUGCCGGGCCCACUUACUAGAAUCCGAGACUCUCUACCAAAAUUUUAGCAGAGUCUCCCCUAUGAAUUGAACAAACCAACUAAAUUUAACCUGCAUAAAAAUACAGAAUAAUCCCAACCAGCAGCAUGCUUUAAAGCGAAUAAACAGUUUACAACAAAAAUGGCCUCCGGCCUCACAAUUCAAACCCUAACAGGGGCGAUAACAGAGCAUGUCUAAGAACUUCAAUUUCAACAAAACAGAGUACAAAGAAAAUAACAUGAAGAAAGAGUCCUACGAUGACUUAAGGCUCGGAAGCGCACGAUCCGGCUCUGCUGCGGAGCUCAGUCAACUACUGGCUGGAGGGCGUAAAACAGAAAAUUGUGAGUGGACAAAAAUAAAUUCAGUUCGAUGCAAACCAACGUAAUAUAACCCCACCGUUUAGAAAACCAUGCAAGAAAUACCAUGCAUCUCAAAACCAUCAUACUCAAGUAUAUAUAUAUAUAUAUAUAUAUAUAUAUCAAAACAAUUCAAUACCAAAUGCCAAGUCCAAAAUCCAUAAAGAACACUUUACAAAACCCACCAUCCAAAAACUUAUAAAUCCCACAACCAAACUCUCGAAAGCGUACCCAUUGGCACGACCGGCAAGGAAGUAUCCACGUCGAGAAACAAGAAUGAAUGAAUAGAUAUAAAUAUAUAAUAUAAGAGAUAUAUAUAUAUAAUAUACAUACGACCAUCACCUAGUUGUACCGGGGAAACAAUCCAACCGGGGGAUUGUUUGACUAGUCACCCUGGCAGAGUCCUCGUGAUGAGUCCUCAAUCCACCAUGUGACUAGGGAACGAGCCGUCCAACUGGGGGACCAACUCUCAGCCAGAACGUACCGUCGAUAACCUCAAAACCCGUACGUCUGUGAUCAGUCCUACGCGCGCAGACUACCCAAUUAAGGGUCUACAGCAACACCCCGUCAAGGAUGCCCCGGGUCCCGACAAUUCCAAGUAUCUCAAGUCUCCAUAUCCAAAUUCCACAUCCGGGGAGGUACAUAGGGUAGUGCUUACAGCACACCAAACUGGCAUUCUAUACUCACCACUUUCCACAAUCUCCUCUCAACAACCCAAGUACCUCACACAUAGCCAAAUAUAUAUAGAAAUCCCCAAAAUCCAUAUAUUCAUACUCAAGAUACUCAAAUACGUCAAAACCCAAAAUAUAUUUUCAAUGCCUCAUAAAAAUAUCACUUUCAACAAUGUCAUAAAUAAUAUAUCCAAAAUACCAUUUAAAACAUCAUGCCUAAUAUUUCCCAAAAUCCAUAUAUAAAAUAUACUUUCAAUACCCAACUAUGCCAAAGCACUAUACAAACAUCAAAUUCAACUCAUGAAUAUAAUAUAUUCGUUAAAUCAUUAAAACAUUAUGCAUAAAUCUUUCAUCAAUAAAACCAUGCAUAAGAUUUGAAAACAAAGUCCACUCACAAGUAGUCCCACGCUGCUUGACCCUGAGAGGGUCCCGCCUGCUGUGUAUGCGUAGUCGGAGUACCUAAUUCAGAAUACGUAUACGAGAUUAAUACGAAACGUUUGGAACGAGUACUUUAAAUUAAAUAUCCUAAUUUCCCAGGUUUCUAGUAAGUAUACUAGGAACGAGACGUUCUAAGGUCCAACUACCCAAUUUGGACGAUGGAACAACUUCGGGAGACACUCGGUCAACUGACGGUCAAACUUCCCAAUUUGGGUCAACCGGGCCCACGAGACCCACGACCUCCGUUUUACAAUCCGAAAGUUUCUAAAGGUUUCACAAGAUCUAAGAUACCCGUCUCGCAAGUUUAGUCCGAAACGGACGGUUAGAUCGCUUACAAUCGGACGAUUGGACGGUUAUUAUAAAACGCAAACUUUAAGUUAUUGAAUCGGAACAUCCGGGGUUCUGAUUCACGAUCCGCGAAUUCCUAUACGAUCCUAGGAAUACCUAGAACAACAUAUUCUAAUUCGGGAAAGAUCUAACGGUCGGAACCUAUCGAACCCGGAUAACGCAUAAUAUGCGAAAAUCCGUUCGAUAGUCAAACGAUGUCCGAAUUGAGAUUCGCGAAAUCCUAUGUGCUCGUGACAACUAGGAGAUCGCAUUGGGACAAAUAUGCCCCUCUGAUACAGUGCCCACGCUCCGCCACACUCGCGGGCAGCGUGUGGGUGUCCAAAGCGAUAAAGCUUCGUCGGAAAAACUCAACAUCUGGCCUCAAGAUUCCCACCCUAGGUACAACACCCUAUUUGGAGUCACUUUUGUUCUUGGGCCUACCCCAAAAAGUGACUAGAAGUGGCCGAAAACAAACUCCCAAAAUCGGCAGAAUUUCAAAUCGAAGAUCAGCUAUCCUAGGCUCAAAAUUAACGAAAUCCCAUCCAACCAUUAGCUAGAGCAUGGAAAAUAGGUAGAAAUCCAUACCUUCCUCGUCAAAUUUGAAGAAGAAAUGAGGGAGAACGAGCGGUUUGAAAAUCUGUGAAAACCGGCUCGUUUU
rnacentral:lncRNA from 1 species